rnacentral:rRNA from 1 species
CCCUAGUAACGGCGAGUGAACCGGGAAGAGCUCAAAUUUGAAAUCUGGCGUGCUCAGUGCGUCCGAGUUGUAAUCUAUAGAGUCGUUUUCCGUGCCGGACUGUGUCCAAGUCCCUUGGAACAGGGUAUCAAAGAGGGUGAUAAUCCCGUACUUGACACAAUGACCGGUGCUCUGUGAUACGUCUUCUACGAGUCGAGUUGUUUGGGAAUGCAGCUCAAAAUGGGUGGUGAGUUCCAUCUAAAGCUAAAUAUUGGCGAGAGACCGAUAGCGAACAAGUACCGUGAGGGAAAGAUGAAAAGCACUUUGGAAAGAGAGUUAAACAGUACGUGAAAUUGUUAAAAGGGAAACGAUUGAAGUCAGUCGUGACUGAGAGGCUCAGCCGGUUCUGCCGGUGUAUUCCCCUCAGUCGGGUCAACAUCAGUUUUGUUCGGUGGAUAAGGGCAGUUGGAAGGUGGCACCCUCGGGUGUGUUAUAGCCAGCUGUCGCAUACAUCGGAUGAGACUGAGGAAUGCAGCUCGCCUUUAUGGCCGGGGUUCGCCCACGUUCGAGCUUAGGAUGUUGACAUAAUGGCUUUAAACGACCCGUCUUGA